rnacentral:rRNA from 1 species
GUGGGGAAUAUUGGACAAUGGGCGCAAGCCUGAUCCAGCCAUGCCGCGUGAGUGAUGAAGGCCUUAGGGUUGUAAAGCUCUUUCGUCAGGGAAGAUAAUGACGGUACCUGAAGAAGAAGCCCCGGCUAACUUCGUGCCAGCAGCCGCGGUAAUACGAAGGGGGCUAGCGUUGCUCGGAAUCACUGGGCGUAAAGCGCACGUAGGCGGCUUUCUAAGUCAGGGGUGAAAUCCUGGAGCUCAACUCCAGAACUGCCUUUGAUACUGGAGAGCUUGAGUUCGGGAGAGGUAAGUGGAACUGCGAGUGUAGAGGUGAAAUUCGUAGAUAUUCGCAAGAACACCAGUGGCGAAGGCGGCUCACUGGCCCGAUACUGACGCUGAGGUGCGAAAGCGUGGGGAGCAAACAGGAUUAGAUACCCGGGUAGUCC